CCUACGGGGGGCUGCAGUGGGGAAUAUUGGACAAUGGGGGCAACCCUGAUCCAGCCAUGCCGCGUGUGUGAAGAAGGCCCUCGGGUUGUAAAGCACUUUCAGUGAGGAAGAACGCCUGGUGGUUAAUAUCCAUCAGGAAAGACAUCACUCACAGAAGAAGCACCGGCUAACUCCGUGCCAGCAGCCGCGGUAAUACGGAGGGUGCGAGCGUUAAUCGGAAUUACUGGGCGUAAAGCGCGCGUAGGUGGCUUGAUAAGCCGGUUGUGAAAGCCCCGGGCUCAACCUGGGAACGGCAUCCGGAACUGUCAAGCUAGAGUGCAGGAGAGGAAGGUAGAAUUCCCGGUGUAGCGGUGAAAUGCGUAGAGAUCGGGAGGAAUACCAGUGGCGAAGGCGGCCUUCUGGACUGACACUGACACUGAGGUGCGAAAGCGUGGGUAGCAAACAGGAUUAGAUACCCUUGUAGUC
rnacentral:rRNA from 1 species